CAUGUAGGCGGUUAUGCAAGCUUGGUGUGAAAGGCAGGAGCUCAACUCCUGGACUGCAUUGAGAACUGCAAAACUAGAGUCACUGAGGGGCAAUCAGAAUUCCAGGUGUAGGGGUGAAAUCUGUAGAUAUCUGGAAGAAUACCAAUGGCGAAAGCAGGUUGCCAGCAGAUGACUGACGCUGAGGUGCGAAGGUGCGGGGAGCAAACA
rnacentral:rRNA from 1 species